rnacentral:misc_RNA from 1 species
UAAUCAAUAGCAGUUCUAGCAUGCAUAAGGUCCUGGUGCAGGCCCUCAAUCUCACCCCGCAAAAGAGGAAUCUGUUUACUAUCAGCUUGUGAUCUUGCAAGGUCUUGUUUAAGGCUCUGAAUUUGCCCAAGUAGAUCCUGCUUUACAUUAUUCAGUUUCUGAACUUCUGCACGAAGUUGUACAACCUCAUUCUUCAAAGGCUCAGUUGCACGAAGAUCAGCCUCCAGCUUCAAGCUUUUCUCAAUAAGCUCCCUCAAGUGCACUUCAUGUUCUGUAUGCAUUUCACCAAUGACAAGAUUCAUGCGAUGAAGUUCCUC